CGCACAUUGUGCUCUCGGCGACUCCACUGUGCGUGUGACAGCGGCUAACCUGCUCCUCGGACAUCGCUGUGCGGCCGCCUCACGUCGCCUCGUCCGCAUGACACCUCUCGCCCCGAGCGGGACACGAGGUGCAGCGACACGCCGAGGAACUCCCACCCGUCCGUCUGUCCGUCCGUCCGUCCGUCCGCCCGUCUGCUGCCUUGCCAUCGCCCCGUGAGCGAGAGACCGAGUCUCCCACACAGAAGUGCUGCCCGUCCCCAUCUCCCCUGCCUGUACUCCUUUGACGUUUCUCCUGCCGGGUCCCAGAGGAGGAAAAUCUGGUGCUCUGCAUGCCUCAUGCAGAGCGAGUGAGUCAAGGUUGCUUCUGCACACCAGAAGGCUGCCUGAAUUUACCAAAGCUGCUUGUACAAUUGCUGUGUAGCUCGGUGCCUCGCUGCUGGGGAUCCCGCUGGCAGAAAUGGCUCUGCAGGUCACUCUGAUGAGGUUGGUCCUGCUUCCCAUCAGGCAGCACUUGGUAUGAAAACUUGUGACUUCCCUCUACCUCCAAGACCAUCCUGUUUGGCUCCAGUAAGCAAAGGCAAGGGAUUGAAUGAAGUUUGUUUGUGUUUCCUUUUUUUUUUUUUUUUUUUUUGGUGUGCUUCCCUCCAGUAAGUGGGGGAAACGUAUCACUGAAUUUUUGUUUUUAACGUUCUUUUGCAUGAUUCAAAACUAACCUACUGUGCUGUCACCUGAAGUCUUCAAUAAACAGUGCAAAACCAGUGUCUGGAUGCUCAUUACUAUAACUCGGGGCUUGGCAGAUUACGGAGCAGGUCCUUAAGGUGGCCUUUGGUAAGAGGAAGCUGUGCCUGCUCAGGCGUGGCUGAUGUGUGUUGCAUGCUGAGCGCUUCCCAUGUCUCAUUUUGCCUCUAGAGCAAAAGAAGGUGGACUUGAAAAGGAGAGUGGGAGGUGUCGUUGGGACCUGGCUGUCCCUCGAGCCCAAUUCCCCACCACUCCCACAGCAAUGCCUUCACCGCCUGCCCUAGCCCAGG
rnacentral:lncRNA from 1 species